GACGAACGCUGGCGGCGUGCUUAACACAUGCAAGUCGAACGGAAAGGCCCUGCUUGCAGGGUACUCGAGUGGCGAACGGGUGAGUAACACGUGGGUGAUCUGCCCUGCACUUCGGGAUAAGCCUGGGUAACGGGGUCUAAUACCGGAUAGGAGCCAUUUUUAGUGUGAUGGUUGGAAAGUUUUUUAGGUGUAGGAUGAGCUCGCGGCCUAUCAGCUUGUUGGUGGGGUAAUGGCCUACAAAGGCGGCGACGGGUAGCCGGCCUGGGAGGGUGGACGGCCACAGUGAGACUGGGACUCGGCCACGACUCCGACUGGUGGGAGAGGUAGGGAAUGUUGCUCAUGGGGCGCAGGCGUGAUGCAGCGCCGCCGCGUGGGGGAUGACGACCUUCGGGUUGGAGACGUCUUUCGCUAGGGACGAAGCUUUUUGUGACGGUACCUAGAGAAGAAGCACCGGCUAACUCCGUG
rnacentral:rRNA from 1 species